ACCAAGCCCAACACUGUUUAUCUUCUCCACCGAAAUAAAUCUGGAUCGAACGACUAGCACCUCCUCAGUUAAUGUCCACAAUAGCUCUCUCUAUUCUUCUUCGUCUCCCCGCGAUUUCCGCAAGAAACAGCUCCACGAGGAAUUGAUGCAGGCAUGCGAGAGAUUUCUGCUGAAUUGCCCUAUAAACUCUAUGACGCGCCUCAGUCGUUCAUGCCACCACUCCUCACCUCUCACCUCCCACCCCUGUUCCUCCUCCUCCUUAUCCAAUUUUCUUUGUUCAGAGAGAAUUAGAGGCGCUGCUACCUCAGUACCUAGGUUGCCUCCUCCCCGAGCUUGCAGUCCUCCAUGCCGGUAUGUUCAUUAUUCGGCCCGGUAUGCGUUGGCUUCACCAUACCUACAUGCUACAGCUUCUUAUGUGUCCCUUUUCUCUCUCUGUUGAACUGGUAAUCUAUUUGUAUGGAUUGUUUUGGAAAAUCUUUAUUUAGCGAUUUGGAGAAUAUGAGGGUGCGAUCGAUUGGUAACUGGUAUCAGCUAGCACUGAGCUAGGAUUUAUUAGAACUGGAUCUAUGGUGAGUGCGUAUCCUUUUGUGACUAUCCUUUAUUUUACCAUAUUUAUCUGAAGGCUUCCUUGCCAAAUUCUGUUAUUAGCAAUUUCGGCAAGUAUUAACUCAUUAGCGUUCUUUUUUACAUUGCCUUCAAAACUAUUUUUUACUUUCAUAGGAAUUUACUAAUUAACAUUUAUUCUGCCAUUGCCGAUUGGCAGAAUUUUCUCCAGAUAUACAAUGGGAGAAUAUUAGAUCUCACCUUGCAAGAUUUCCAGAUUGAUUGCAGCGUUUCCACACAAAUUUUCCUAAUAAGUGAAAUACCGCUUUAUUUCUGUUCAGCCGAAGGUGGCAGCAUAUGAACUUACAUUAUUAUACUGUAAGUAACAAGAUUGAGUGGCCUCAACUUCAUACAAGCUUUAUAGGUACGGUUCUACUGAAAUUAGCAUGCCUAUUAUUCUGAAUUUUUUAUUUGCCUGAUCUUCAUUCUUAGUCAUUGGAAAGGCACAUUGUCAAGACAGCAUUGAUGGGGGAAAAAAUCUGUAACAGAUGAUGCAUUGGAAAAUUUCUUCAUGUUGUGUUAUAUAUAUGUGCUAAGCAUCGCUUGACUGAAUUUUGGCAUAACAAGAUAGAGCAGUGUUAAGAUGACAUAUACCAAGUGGAGCAACACAUGAGGUGUAUCAUUUCUAGAGCCACAAAUUUCCGAUUCAUGUCUACUGCGAGUUGUGGAGAACAAAACAGACAUAUCCUUUUGUGAACCCUGCUUCAUCUCUUUAUAUCCAGAAAAAAGCAAUAGCUAUAUUGAGUAUAUAUUUAAAAAAAAUAUGUCUCAGUUGAAACUAUAUACAUAUACAAAUAAUUCUUGCUAUUUGCCCCCAAGAUCUGUAUUUCCGUUGAAUCAUCUACUCCGUAUGAUAUAUCUUGGUUUGCAGUUUCGCAACAACUAUGUUGCGGUAUUCACAUACAA